rnacentral:rRNA from 1 species
UACGUAGGGUGCGAGCGUUGUCCGGAAUUACUGGGCGUAAAGAGCUCGUAGGCGGUUUGUCGCGUCGUUCGUGAAAACUUGGGGCUUAACUCCAAGCGUGCGGGCGAUACGGGCAGACUUGAGUACUACAGGGGAGACUGGAAUUCCUGGUGUAGCGGUGAAAUGCGCAGAUAUCAGGAGGAACACCGGUGGCGAAGGCGGGUCUCUGGGUAGUAACUGACGCUGAGGAACGAAAGCGUGGGUAGCGAACAGG